UACGGGGGGGAGCAAGCGUUAGUCCGGAAUUACUGGGCGUAAAGGGCGUGUAGGCGGUUUGGUAAGUCAGAUGUAAAAGGUCCCGGCUUAACCGGGGAUGGUCAUUUGAAACUGCCAGGCUUGAGUUCGAGAGAGGGUAGCGGAAUUCCCAGUGUAGCGGUGAAAUGCGUAGAUAUUGGGAAGAACACCAGUAGCGAAGGCGGCUACCUGGCUCGCAACUGACGCUAAGGCGCGAAAGCGUGGGGAGCAAACAGGAUUAGAUACCCGUGUA
rnacentral:rRNA from 1 species